rnacentral:rRNA from 1 species
UACGGAGGGUGCGAGCGUUGUCCGGAAUCACUGGGCGUAAAGGGCGCGUAGGCGGCCACGACAAGUCACUUGUGAAAUCUCCGGGCUUAACUCGGAACGGUCAAGUGAUACUGUCGGGCUAGAGUACAGAAGGGGCAACUGGAAUUCUCGGUGUAGCGGUGAAAUGCGUAGAUAUCGAGAGGAACACCUGCGGCGAAGGCGGGUUGCUGGGCUGAUACUGACGCUGAUGCGCGAAAGCCAGGGGAGCGAACGGG